UACGAAGGGGGCUAGCGUUGCUCGGAAUCACUGGGCGUAAAGGGUGCGUAGGCGGGUCUUUUAAGUCAGGGGUGAAAUCCUGGAGCUCAACUCCAGAACUGCCUUUGAUACUGAGGAUCUUGAGUUCGGGAGAGGUGAGUGGAACUGCGAGUGUAGAGGUGAAAUUCGUAGAUAUUCGCAAGAACACCAGUGGCGAAGGCGGCUCACUGGCCCGAUACUGACGCUGAGGCACGAA
rnacentral:rRNA from 1 species